rnacentral:lncRNA from 1 species
AGCAACGUGGCGGAGAGUCACCGCUGGAGCUCCCUGAAUCUCGCGUGUCCCACCGGGGGUUUCCGCUGGACCCUACUUGGUUCCUACCUUGCACGUCUACCAAAUCCUGUUGGAUGUUGGAAACUUGUAUUCCUGAAAGGAAUCCUAGACGCGUACUUUUGGAAUUGAGGAAAGAGGCCCAAGAAGAAAGUAUUGUUUACCUCCCUAAAUUGGAGAAGCAACCCAGGUCCCUUAACUCUGGGUGCAGUGGUCUUCCCAUUAGGCCGCUCUCAUUGAAUCUUUGAUGAUCAGGCCUACCUGCAGCUGGCUGAGUAUGCAGGAGUCCUGUGACUUAGCGGAUUCUUUUCGGCUUCUAUUCCCUGGAGUCUGAGCUCAGCCCAGCAGGAUCCAACCUUUUCUGCAGCCCUGGCAGAGCAGCCCACUAAAGUCUGCCUUUUGUGAGAGACUAAUCCCCCACACAGACCAUAGCAACGAGGUUGUCUACGUGGGAAAGGCGACAUGAUCUAGCUGGAAAGGUGGCUUGAAGCUUUUGUAGGAUGCUUUACAAAUGACUGAAGAAAUAUCACAUGGCCAUAUUCAAAGAAUUGGGGUCCAUUUCCCCCUACUACCACCAUGCCUUAAUCUAAGGCAGAAGGACAGAUGGAAUAGUGAUUCCGAGUGCUGAGAAACAGUUACACAAACGAUUCAGAAUGAACUCAGAAUAUAGAAGACUGGGCUGGAGGAAAGAUGUGUGUAAGCAAAUCAGUAAGUAUGAGUUGAUGCUAAUGAUUAAUUACUCAGAGGGCAGGUAGGAAAGGCUUGCCCUAGGAAAGACUCUAACACGUGAAUGUCGAAAGGGGAAAUGCAGACUUAUGGGAGUUUUCCCAUUAAAAGAAAAAUCAGAUGACUUUUAGCAAGUAGAUGAGAGAACAGUAAGACCUAGAAAGCAGGGCCUUUCUAAUUCUCUUCUCCAGGAUUCAAAGGAUUAAAGGCUAAGAGUGUUCUCCAUUCCUGUCAGCUUACAAAGCUGAAGCUAGUGUCUGGCAAAUGGCCUCCUGGUUCCUCUGGACCAACUCUCCCUUGAGGAAGGCAAAACUAGCAGAGACUGUGUUUCCUAAACUUCUUCAGGGUGGGGAAGUCAGAGGUCUACACGGGUUUUUGAAAGACAAAUCCUCUGGAUGGGACACCAAAUCAUCCACAUGUUUCUUUGAUGAUUAUGAGGUCUUCUAGAAUCACCUAUUAAAAGACAGCGCAGACCUAUUAAAAGAUAACCCUGGACCAGGCAGCUCUUUAUUUAGCAGGAUCAUGGACAGUUGGGUGCAGAAGAAGUUCUGAAAGUUGGGAAUGGGAGUUUCAGGGUCUCCGGAUGAUGAAAGGAUUCAAAGGGGAGGUGGAGGCCUCCAAAUUUAGUUCUGAAAGUUUACAUCCUAUUUCUUUCACUUAUGGACUCUGGUGAGAAGCUGAAUCUUCCACCCAAUGAUCUUAUUUCUAGGUCUGCAUCUGUUUCUUUUUUUCAUAUGAAUUACACAUUAAGGAUAAUCAGAAUUACACAGGGUACAAUCCUGACAUCAUCAUCCUCAAUUUUCCUUGACGUUGUUGGGCAAAGUUUGUUCCAUGUAGAAAGAAGCUUUAUUGAAUUUCUGGACACAAAGGAAGAGCUAAAGUUAAUUACCCUAAUAUCCUUUUCACAGAAAUCCUGGUGCUAAGUUCUCUGACAUUUUAUGUUUCCCAAAGCAUUCUGGCUUUUAAUAUCACCCAUAUUUUGUAAGUAGGAAGGACAGUAAAAUAAAUUUGUGAGUCAGAACCAGAGUCCAGGACCUGACUCCCACACACUGUGAUGUAAUUAACAAGAUAUUGAAAACAAACACACCCAUAAAAAAAACUAAACUAACCCUAAAUUGACUUGUAGUUCAUUUAUCAGAUGCUUAAUUUCAUUUCCAACCUGAAAUGGAAAGAUCUAGAGAAAGUCCACAUAGGCCAUUCAUUAAAGCCUAUGUCACCGCAACCCAGUUACUGAAUCAUCCUCUUUGGGUGCCACGUCUGUGUCCAAGUCUCUCAAAAAUUCUAGAGUUGAAGGAACCAGGCCACACCCCAAUGCUUCUCCCCUGCCAGCUGCUCAGCUAUCUUAUACAUAGAAACAUCACCAACGACAUAUGCUUCUGUUUCUCCCCUUCCUAGUGAGUUCACACAAUAGUGUUUCUUGGAGAAAUAGAACUGACUGAUGUCUCAGCACUAGAAUACCUUUCAUUUGUUUCCCACAUUUGGUUAAACACUUUUAAAGUUUGUAAAAGAAUAUAAAAAUGUGUGAAACAGAGGAAAGCAGGCUUUGGAAAGAGACAGAAGCCAAAUACAGUUGACCCUUGAACAACAUGGGUUUGAAUAGCAUGAAUCCACUUAAAUGUGGAUUUUUUUCAAUGAAAAUGGUAUGACGUGAUCCCAGGUUGAUUUAAUCCAGUGCAGAUGUAGAACAACAGAUAUGGCAGGCUGAUUCUGAGAUUUGAGCUUCCUUGGAUUUGGGUACCUGCAGAGUGUCCUGGUACCAAGAAACAACUGUAGUACUUUUCAGCACUGGCUUUUGCAUUAGCAAAGUAUGUCAAAGUAAAUGCAUCCAGUCUAAUUAUACAAGGUCAUGGUUAAGAGGGCCCUGACUUGGCAUAAUAUAAACAGCAAUAUUGAAGCAUCCUUGGAGUUCCUGUUGUGGUGCAGCAGAAACGAAUCUGACUAGGAACCAUGAGGUUGCAGGUUUGAGCCCUGACCUUGCUCAAUGGGUUAAGGAUCUGGCAUUGCCAGGAGCUGUGGUGUAGGCCAGCAGCAGUAGCUCUGAUUAGACCCCUAGCCUGCGAACCUCCAUAUGCCUUGGGCGUGGCCCUAAAAAGACAAGAGACAAUAAAAUAAAAUAAAAUAAAAUAAAAUAAAAUAAAAUAAAAUAAAAACAAAAGCAUCCUUGAGUUCGAAUUAGAUGUCUAAGAAGAUAAGGGUCUCAGGAUCAGGGAUGAGGAGAGGGGCAUGAAUAGUAAAAGAACUGGCUGCAGGGGGAACUGGUCAAGAAAGUCUUCUUCAUUCCCCUUCCAGAGUUGUGCAGCUCA